rnacentral:rRNA from 1 species
AACAGGGAUUGCCCUAGUAACGGCGAGUGAAGCGGCAACAGCUCAAAUUUGAAAUCUGGCUCUCGGGCCCGAGUUGUAAUUUGUAGAGGAUGCUUUUGAUGCGGUGCCUUCCGAGUUCCCUGGAACGGGACGCCAUAGAGGGUGAGAGCCCCGUCUGGUUGGAUGCCAAAUCUCUGUAAAGCUCCUUCGACGAGUCGAGUAGUUUGGGAAUGCUGCUCUAAAUGGGAGGUAUAUGUCUUCUAAAGCUAAAUACCGGCCAGAGACCGAUAGCGCACAAGUAGAGUGAUCGAAAGAUGAAAAGCACUUUGAAAAGAGAGUUAAAAAGUACGUGAAAUUGUUGAAAGGGAAGCGUUUAUGACCAGACUUGGGCUUGGAUAAUCAUCUGGGGUUCUCUCCAGUGCACUUUUCCAGUCCAGGCCAGCAUCAGUUUUCGCCGGGGGAUAAAGGCUUCGGGAAUGUGGCUCUCUCCGGGGAGUGUUAUAGCCCGUUGCGUAAUACCCUGGCGGGGACUGAGGUUCGCGCAUCUGCAAGGAUGCUGGCGUAAUGGUCAUCAACGACCCGUCUUGAAACACGGACCAAGGAGUCGUCUUCGUAUGCGAGUGUUCGGGUGUCAAACCCCUACGCGUAAUGAAAGUGAACGCAGGUGAGAGCUUCGGCGCAUCAUCGACCGAUCCUGAUGUUCUCGGAUGGAUUUGAGUAAGAGCAUACGGGGCCGGACCCGAAAGAAGGUGAACUAUGCCUGUGUAGGGUGAAGCCAGAGGAAACUCUGGUGGAGGCUCGCAGCGGUUCUGACGUGCAAAUCGAUCGUCAAACAUGGGCAUGGGGGCGAAAGACUAAUCGAACCUUCUAGUAGCUGGUUUCCGCCGAA